rfam:Sphaerobolus stellatus SS14 unplaced genomic scaffold SPHSTscaffold_129, whole genome shotgun sequence.
GCCCGUUUAGCACAGUGGUAGUGCGUUCCACUCGUAACUGUUAAGUUUAUAUGGAAAGGUCGCUUGUUCAAUCCAGGUAGGGGCCA